GUCAAUGUGGAGGCUAUAUACAGGGGGUACCGGUACAGAGUCAAUGUGGAGGCUAUAUACAGGGGGUACCGGUACAGAGUCAAUGUGGAGGCUAUAUACAGGGGUUACCGGUACAGAGUCAAUGUGGAGGCUAUAUACAGGGUAUUACGGUACAGAGUCAAUGUGGAGGCUAUAUACAGGGGGUACCGGUACAGAGUCAAUGUGGAGGCUAUAUACAGGGGGUACCGGUACAGAGUCAGUGUGGAGGCUAUAUACAGGGGUUACCGGUACAGAGUCAAUGUGGAGGCUAUAUACAGGGUAUUACGGUACAGAG
rnacentral:lncRNA from 1 species